GAUGAACGCUGGCGGCGUGCCUAAUACAUGCAAGUCGAGCGAACGGACGAGAAGCUUGCUUCUCUGAUGUUAGCGGCGGACGGGUGAGUAACACGUGGAUAACCUACCUAUAAGACUGGGAUAACUUCGGGAAACCGGAGCUAAUACCGGAUAAUAUUUUGAACAGCAUGGUUCAAAAGUGAAAGACGGUCUUGCUGUCACUUAUAGAUGGAUCCGCGCUGCAUUAGCUAGUUGGUAAGGUAACGGCUUACCAAGGCAACGAUGCAUAGCCGACCUGAGAGGGUGAUCGGCCAGACGGGAACUGAGACACGGUCCAGACUCCUACGGGGGGCAGCAGUAGGGAAUCUUCCGCGAUGGGCGAGAGCCUGACGGAGCAACGCCGCGUGAGUGAUGAAGGUCUUCGGAUCGGAAAACUCUGUUAGUAGGGAAGAACAUAUGUGUAAGUAACUGUGCACAUCUUGACGGUACCUAAUCAGAAAGCCACGGCUAACUACGUG
rnacentral:rRNA from 1 species